rnacentral:tRNA from 1 species
GGGUGUAGAGCUCAGUGGUAAAGCCUGUGCCUGGCAUGCAUGAGGUUCUGGGUUCAAUCCCCAAUACCUCCA